rnacentral:rRNA from 1 species
UACGUAGGGGGCAAGCGUUUGUCCGGAUUUAUUGGGCGUAAAGAGCGUGUAGGCGGCUAGGUAGGUCCGUUGUGAAAACUCGAGGCUCAACCUCGAGAUGUCGGCGGAAACCGUCUGGCUAGAGUCCGGAAGAGGAGAGUGGAAUUCCUGGUGUAGCGGUGAAAUGCGCAGAUAUCAGGAGGAACACCAACGGCGAAGGCAGCACUCUGGGCCACUACUGACGCUGAGAAGCGAAAAGCAUGGGGGAGCGAAACAGGG